GAUGUAAUCAGUCAGGUUCUUCCUGAUGCAACAACAACAGCUUUUGAAUAUGAAGAUGAGGAUGGCGAUCGGAUUACUGUUCGAAGUGAUGAAGAAAUGAAAGCUAUGUUGUCCUAUUAUUACACAACUGUAAUGGAGCAGCAGGGAAAUGGGCAGCUGAUCGUGCCUCUGCAGAUCUACCCAAGAGCUUGCAAGCCACCUGGGAAACGGAACAUACAUGGCCUGAAGGUAAAUACGCGAGCAGGGUCUGCUAACAACAGCAGUGCAGCCAUCCCAGACUCCCUUCCAAGCCAUAGUCUGAAGAAGUCUUCCGCUGAACUGAAGAAAAUAUUAGCAAAUGGCCAGAUGAAUGAACAAGACAUACGGUAUCGAGACAUCCUUGGUCAUGGCAAUGGAGGAACCGUUUACAAAGCAAACCAUGUCCCCAGUGGGAAAAUACUAGCUGUAAAGGUGAUCCCUUUAGAUAUUACACUAGAACUUCAGAAACAGAUUAUGUCUGAAUUAGAAAUUCUUUAUAAGUGCGAUUCAUCCUACAUCAUAGGAUUUUAUGGUGCUUUUUUUGUAGAAAACAGGAUUUCUCUUUGUACUGAAUUUAUGGAUGGGGGCUCUUUAGAUGUCUACAGAAAAAUUCCAGAACACGUAUUGGGAAGAAUAGCUGUAGCUGUUGUUAAAGGCCUUACUUAUUUAUGGAGCUUAAAAAUUUUACAUAGAGACGUGAAGCCUUCCAAUAUGUUGGUCAACACGAGAGGCCAGGUCAAGUUAUGUGACUUUGGAGUCAGCACCCAGCUGGUGAAUUCCAUAGCAAAGACCUACGUUGGGACAAAUGCAUAUAUGGCACCAGAACGAAUUUCCGGAGAACAGUACGGCAUUCAUUCUGAUGUUUGGAGUCUAGGAAUUUCCUUCAUGGAGCUUGCUCUCGGGAGGUUCCCGUAUCCUCAGAUUCAGAAAAACCAGGGAUCUUUAAUGCCUCUCCAGUUACUCCAGUGCAUUGUUGAUGAGGAAUCUCCUGUCCUUCCGGUUGGGGAGUUCUCGGAGCCGUUUGUACACUUCAUCACUCAAUGUAUGAGAAAGCAACCGAAGGAACGGCCAGCCCCUGAAGAAUUAAUGGGCCACCUCUUUAUUGUCCAGUACAAUGACGGGAACGCCGAAGUUGUCUCCAUGUGGGUGUGCCGGACGCUGGAGGAGAGGCGCUUGCAGCAACAGGGAUCCCAGUGAGAUUCAGAGAUGCUCGCUCUCUCCAGCAAGACUGAAGCCAAACAGACUCUGAAGAGGAAGUUCUCCAGAAGCCUGCUCUCUUGGGGUGUCAUGAUAGGAAGCAAAAUCGCUUACUGAGCGGGCUGUGCCUGCGGUGCUCGGUCACUAGAGGUCUGAAGUGGAUCCGGGUGGAUUGGAGGGACCCGGCCUCUUGUAGCGAGAAACUUUUGCUGAACAAUUACAACUCCUAACCGUUGCUUCAGAGGCAGCCCAGAAACGCCUUUGCUGCUUUCCUUGGAGGGAUCAUCAAUCUCCAGGUGAAGGAUAGAGAUUGCAGGCACGAACUUAUAGACGAAAGUUUGUCUUAAUUGCUGCAAUGUCACAGCCUCUCUGGCAGAUAACAGUACAAUGAAUGACUCAAUGUGACUGGUGGCUGCGGGUGCUUUUUCUAAAAGUGAGACAAAUUUCUCUCCUUUCAGCCAGCUGGGCUGAAGCAGCUCUUUCGUUUCCUUUUUUGCUAACACUCUGCAUAUACCUCUCUGGUUUAAAACGUAUUUCUGUUCAAUUUAAUUUAAAAAUCACAUUAAGUUCCUCAUUUACUUACGUUAAGUUUUUUGGAGCAAAGAGCACGACAACUGCAAUCUGCCAUUUACUGCUGAAGAACCUUGCGUGUUUUUGAGCCUCUUGUUUUAAUUUAUCAGCCAUACAUCAACUAUUGAUAAUCCAAAUUGAUUCUUUAAGCGUGUUUUAAGUGAAGAAUGUGUUCUGAACGUGUCAGCAAUCGGUGACAGCCCCAUUAAUAAAGACAUUUUGGAUCUGAUGAUGCUUUAUAAUUAGCUAUCUACUCAUUUCAUCAAGCUUGCAUUAGCCCUUUAUAAAUAAUACAAAAAUGACCUCAAAUGGAUGUACAAGGUCAUGUAUAAAAUGUGGAGAGUCUGUCAUUAUUUUUGCUGAUGAUCAUAUAAGUCUCAUCUUGCAUACCUGCUUGGUUUGGGAAUUAAAUGCAGUGUUUUCCCCCUCUUUCUCUCUAAUGGAAAGGAUCUGCAAGCUCUAGUAAGUCAAGGCGCAUAGUGAAAAGAAUGGGAUCAUGAUUAAAUAUAAAGACAACCAGCAACCAGCCUCAGAAUUGACAGCGAAGAUAUCAAAGUGGUGGAGAGCUUCUGCCUUUUAGGAUCAACCAUCAGCAGUAAAGGAACAAGCAGUCAAGAAACAUGCUGCAGAGUAGCACUUGGGAGAGCAGCCACGAAGACCUUGGAAAAGAAAUUCAGAUGCCGGGAGGUGUCUACUGUAUACCUACAAAGAACCAAAUGGUGCAGGCAACAAUAUUCCCUGGGACACUCUAUGGAAGUGAAAGUUGGACUUUAAAGAAACAGGAUAGAAAGAGCAUUGAUGCUUUU